AGGGUGAUAGCCCCGUGCGUUGGCGGGGGCGUCCGAGGGCCGCUACCGUCUUCCGAGAGUCGGGUUGUUUGAGAUUGCAGCCCAAAGUGGGUGGUAAACUCCAUCUAAAGCCGAACAGGGGCACAACACCGAUAGCGAACAAGUACCGUGAGGGAAAGGUGAAAAGCACUUUGGAAAGAGAGUUAAAGAGACCGCGAAACCGUUAGGAGGGAAACGCAUGCAGCCGAACGGGCCCUCGUCGGGUUCAGGGGUCGGCGUGGCGCCGUACGUCGCGUGCCGGGCACUCUCGCGAGGCCCGCCGCGCGGUCGAUCGCCUCCCACCCCCGCACUCCCGACGGUCGUGGGCCGGCCAAGCGCGGUGGCGUGACGGCGCAGAGGAGGGCCGACGGGCAGGUAGUGCAGCCGGUCGUCGGUUUCGGCCGUAGGCGAACUUACAGCCGUCGGUCUGGCCUGCGCCGCUCCACCGAGGAGAGCGGUGGCCCGUUUCCACCCCAGCAGCACGGGACUCCCUCGGCCGAGGGAGGUCGGAGCGCUUCAGUUCGUUCGGCCUCCGCGCCGCGAGACUGCUUGCAGUGUCCGGCGUCGGCGUGCGGGUCCGGGCGGGAGACGUCUCACGGCCGGUGCUGCGGUGGCUUGGCGAGCCGUCGGCUCCAUUCGA
rnacentral:rRNA from 1 species